rnacentral:rRNA from 1 species
UAUGCAUGUGUAAGUAUAAAUAAUUUUACUUUGAAACUGCGAAUGGCUCAUUAUAUCAGUUAUAGUUUAUUAGAAAUACUUUACUACUUGGAUAACCGUAGUAAUUCUAGGGCUAAUACAUGACUAAAUCCUCAACUUCGGAAGAGGUGUGUUUAUUAGUAUGAAAACCAUAUAUCUUCGGAUAUAAUAGUGAGUAAUAAUAACCUUUCAUAUCGUAUGUCGUAAGAUAACGAUGGUUCUUUCAAGUUUCUGCCCUAUCAGCUUUCGAUGGUAGUAUAUGGGACUACCAUGGCAGUAACGGGUAACGAAGAAUCUGGGUUCGAUUUCGGAGAGGGAGCCUGAGAGAUGGCUACCACAUCCAAGGAAGGCAGCAGGCGCGUAAAUUACCCAAUCCUGACAUAGGGAGGUAGUGACAAUAAAUCACAAUGCGGAACUAUUUAGUUUUGCAAUUGGAUUGAGAACAAUGUACAAAUGUUAUCGAUAAACAAUUGGAGGGCAAGUCUGGUGCCAGCAGCCGCGGUAAUUCCAGCUCCAAUAGCGUAUAUUAACGUUGUUGCAGUUAAAAAGCUC